GAUAGCCUACGGGGCGCAGCAGUAGGGAAUAUUGCUCAAUGGGGGAAACCCUGAAGCAGCAGCGCCGCGUGGAGGAUGAAGGUUUUCGGAUUGUAAACUCCUUUUGUUAGAGAAGAUAAUGACGGUAUCUAACGAAUAAGCACCGGCUAACUCCGUGCCAGCAGCCGCGGUAAUACGGAGGGUGCAAGCGUUACUCGGAAUCACUGGGCGUAAAGAGCGCGUAGGCGGGAUAGCAAGUCAGAUGUGAAAUCCUAUUGCUUAACCAU
rnacentral:rRNA from 1 species